UGGACUACAUGCAGUUUCUGAGGAGCUUCGGACGGGCUCCCACGGCCCACAGAGUCUGCAGCAGCCGCAGCAGUGUGAGGCGUGCUCCACAGAACACCUCCAUGUCCCUGUCUGACAUACAGAAGCAUCUCAAAGAGAAGAUUGGAGGCAACCUGAGGACCGUGAUCAGAGUGUUCCGGCUGUUUGACUACAACCGAGAAGGACACAUCCA